rnacentral:rRNA from 1 species
UUAGAGUUUGAUCCUGGCUCAGGAUGAACGCUAGCGAUAGGCCUAACACAUGCAAGUCGAGGGGCAGCAUAGGGUAGCAAUACUUUGAUGGCGACCGGCGCACGGGUGAGUAACGCGUAUGCAACCUACCUAUAACAGGGGAAUAACCCGGAGAAAUUCGGACUAAUACCGCAUAAAACAGGGGCUCCGCAUGGAGAUAUUUGUUAAAGAUUUAUCGGUUAUAGAUGGGCAUGCGUUCCAUUAGCCAGUUGGUGAGGUAACGGCUCACCAAAGCAACGAUGGAUAGGGGAACUGAGAGGUUUGUCCCCCACACUGGAACUGAGACACGGACCAGACUCCUACGGGAGGCAGCAGUGAGGAAUAUUGGUCAAUGGGCGAGAGCCUGAACCAGCCAAAUCGCGUGAAGGAAGACUGCCUUAUGGGUUGUAAACUUCUUUUAUACAGGAAUAAAAAGAGUUACGUGUAACUUAUUGCAUGUACUGUAUGAAUAAGCAUCGGCUAACUCCGUGCCAGCAGCCGCGGUAAUACGGAGGAUGCGAGCGUUAUCCGGAUUUAUUGGGUUUAAAGGGUGCGCAGGCGGGAACUUAAGUCAGCGGUGAAAUCUCGACGCUUAACGUCGGAACUGCCGUUGAAACUGGGUUUCUUGAGUAUAGAUGAAGUAGGCGGAAUUCGUUGUGUAGCGGUGACAUGCUUAGAUAUAACGAGGAACUCCGAUUGCGUAGGCAGCUUACUAAGCUAUAACUGACGCUCAAGCACGAAAGCGUGGGGAUCAAACAGGAUUAGAUACCCUGGUAGUCCACGCCGUAAACGAUGAUUACUAGUUGUAUGCGAUAUACGGUAUGUGACUAAGCGAAAGCGAUAAGUAAUCCACCUGGGGAGUACGCCGGCAACGGUGAAACUCAAAUGAAUUGACGG